AUUGAACGCUGGCGGCAGGCCUAACACAUGCAAGUCGAACGAGUGGCGGACGGGUGAGUAAUGUCUGGGAAACUGCCCGCUGGAGGGGGAUAACUACUGGAAACGGUAGCUAAUACCGCAUACCAUCGGAUGUGCCCAGAGGGGAUUAGCUUGUAGGGGAGGUAACGGCUCACCUAGGCGACGAUCCCCAGCUGGUCUGAGAGGAUGACCAGCCACCCUGGGACGGAGACACGGUCCAGACUCCUACGUGAGGCAGCAGUGGGGAAUAUUGCACAAAGGGCGCAAGCCUGAUGCAGCCAUGCCGCGUGUAUGAAGAAGGCCUUCGAGUUGUAAAGGACUUUCAGCGGGGAGGCGUUACCCGCAGAAGAAGCACCGGCUAACUCCGUGCCAGCAGCCGCGGUAAUAA
rnacentral:rRNA from 1 species